GGGCUUGUAGCUCAGUUGGUUAGAGCGCGUCCCUGAUAAGGACGAGGCCAAUGGUUCGAAUCCAUUCAGGCCCACCA
rnacentral:tRNA from 2 species